CGGGUUCUGAACAAUCCGAAGAGAACGAGGUGUGUUUGUCGCCAGUUCCUGUACCUGAUUUUCCUGUUAAGCCUUUUGUCAAAGUGUGUUUGAAUACCGCGUAUGCAAUCGACAUGCCCAACCAGGUGAAACAUUCAGUGAAAGAGGACUUGUGAUUUUUGGACGAAAGCCAAAGCACCUGCAUUUGAAGUGAAAAAAGUAUCUAUUCGUGUAUUCCAAAACGAAAAAGAUACGAAUUGCGUAGUUAUAUAGAUUUAAGAAAUUAAUAACGAGGUUUAUCUUUGAAGUUUCUGUCGACAGCCACUUCGCGUCCCUACGUGAAAGAUUAUGUGUUUCCUCAGUACACCUCGCAUCUUUCCAAGGAGCAAUAUGUCGAAAUAUUUGCUGCGCUGAUUAGUAAUCUUCUCAAAUUCCAAAGACAUUAUUAUCCCCAUUAAUAUGCCAAAGACUGACAAAAUUUGAUGAAUAUUGAUACUUGUUUUUCAUUUGGAAAAACGGUUGCAAUAAUGAGCAAAUGUGUCAUCGAAAGCUUUGUGUUGAUAUCAAAACCAGAUUAUUUUAAUAACUUUCCUGAUUGGAAGAUUUACGCAAACUGUGUCUCAAUUAAGUACUGUUCGUGUGCUUUAAGGAAAUGUUGCUACAUAAUGAAAAUGGAGUUAAAUAAUUUCAUUAAUAAUAGGUUCCUAAAACAUCACUGAUGAAAAAACGCAAUGUGACGUAAAAGCUUUCCCUAACCACCAACAGUGUAUGCCUCCUAAUAGCAGCGGUGCGCCAAAACCAUUGCUCAACCUAUCGAUGCGUCGGGGUGUACCGCCGAGCGCUGGGAGUACAACACCCUUGGCGCUGCAUAGGUCCGAGUUUGAGGAUUUUAUGAAUGCAUACCGUCCGAGUUUGGACGCCGCUCGCCGAGAACCAGAGCAUUCGAAACCUGCAGAAGAAUCGAAAGUUGACUUCGGUCGUUCCAUUAAAAAACUUAUGAAGAAACCUCAAAACUCGCCAAGCGUCAUAAAGAAAAACCAUCGUAAAGAAGGCAUUCAAAGGACACCGACAGUAGCCCCCGGAUCUAGUAGUCGCCUGGAAAGGGAAAGAAGUGUUGCCAGUGAUGUGAGGCCUGUAACAGAAAAGAAACCAAAGAGGCCUGUUUCAGCUCACUUGGAAGUAACUCCUCUGACGGAUUAUGGACCUGCGAUAAUGCCACCGGACAUCACUAUUCCUAAACUUGAGAUUCCCCCAACUUCUGCACCUCUGAUUCUCCCUAAAAAUCCUUCUGCUCCAGUGGCUUCCCCUAAAAAUCCUCCUGCGCCUGUAGCUUCCCCUAAAAAUCCUCCUGCACCUGUGGUUUCUCCUAAAAAUUCUUCAGCACCUGUGGUUCCCCCUAAAAACCCUAAAGCGGUUCCUAAAAUAUCUAAAGCUAAACAAGAAGACCAGCUUAAGGUGAUUUCGGACAGCGCACCUGUACUACCUGUUGCUCCAUCAAUAGUCCCGGCACCUAACCUCAACCAGGUGAAGAAGAAAGUAUCUAUUCAGGAAGAAAAGCGGAGGUCAGGAACCGAGACUUUCCCAGACGCCCACUGCCUAAUUAUAUCCGGAAAUAACAUUGGUCGGUUUAUACCACCACGUCACAAUCCCGAUCCUAUCCUCAGCAUGCGGGUGGUACCCAUACCAGAGAGGAAAUACCAUGUGAUUCUCGAAUUCCAAGAGAUGGCCCGAGCUCCUAGACCUCAUUCUUCUACUUCUGGACUUCUUGUAUUCGAGCCAGAGGAGAGCAAUUCCACUACGUUCAGAGAACAGAUUCAUUACUUCUCUUGGAUAAGGGAGUCUCACAUAGCCACCAUGGGGAUGCUCCUGCAAAAUGUAGAAAAAAUAACCGACUUUCCCUAUGUCACAUACGUUGUAGUUACUGGUGGUCGACAUGAAUUGGCCCAGAAGUUGCAUGUAGUUCAAGACAGACCGACACCAGAAGAAACCCAGCAGCUGCAUUUCUUAGCUGGGUAUGAAGAAGCUAUAACAAUAGCCAGGCCACCACUGGCAACAUUCCCUGAGAAACCGACAUCCGACAAAACUGGGUUUGUCAUCUGCCUAUACCAAGUCCUUCCAGGAGAUGAUAGCUCCAAGUUUGAACAUCAUUGGAUGGUUUGGACUGGUGCGAGACAAAUCUAUCGCACAAUACCUGAAUACAUGGGCUUGAAAAGGAUAUCUGUACAUAAGAGCGUACUUCCUACCAAGAUCAUUAAUUAUUGCUUGAUAUGUGAAUUUUCUAACAUUAUGGAAUAUCUGACUGAAGCUUGCGUAAUUAUCGAUCAUCUCAGAGCCCGGUGUUGUGGAUUUACUGGCAUCUAUCGAGUUCUGGACACAUUAUAGUGUUGCCAACAACGUGGAAUGUUUUUAUCAUUGUUCUUCUAGUCAUGGAAGAGUUUUGAUUUCAACAACUCAUAUGCCAAAUUAUUCUGCAAAAACUGUUUUGGGAACACAUCGUUUCAUUUGCAUGAUAAAGGAUAUAGGUGAAUAGCAACAUUUGUAAGAUGCUUCAUCUACUCGUUAUUCUUGUGUCUGAAAAGAAAAAUGCAUGUGCAAAAGAGAAAAAAAUUGGCCUACAGCCAUUGUCAAUUGUUAUGACAUCAGUGGAUCUGCAGUGAUCCAUUAAAUGUUCAAGUACAAUUAGAAUUCCAAGGCAAUAUUUAUUGGGCGGAAAUAUAAUGGGUGAAAAAUAUUUUGAAUUAUUCGGUGAUAUAUUAUUAUCAAUUAAAAACAAAGUCUUCUCUUUCAAGUGAAAACGAUACCAAAUUCUUACAAAUUACGUGAAGAAGAAAGGUGUGUUGAAAUCUUUAAUUCAUAUAUCAUUUUAGAAACAAUGGAAACUAGAUUAAAAAACGAAAACUCAACGUAAAACUAGUCUUAAAGUUUUGAAUAUUAUAACAAAAAUCAUAAAAUUCAGAAGUAUGGUUCUCUAUUACAUCGAAGCACUUUUUUUCCUUUUUUGAAAGAAGAGAAUGAAAUUUUAACCUAGGGGAAAAGAAGCAUUGCAGGAAAAGUAUGGAAGCUGGUGAUAUGUACAUUUCAGUUAGAAUUUAGUAUGUUCAUAAAUAAUUAUUUGUACUCAUUCAAGUUUCAUGUAUAACCUGUAAAUUUGUAGUUUGUGUACUUUUAACGUCUCCAGUGUAUUGUUCUAUUAACCGUAUACCUGCAAAACUCAGUUACAAUAAUAAUUUUAUUAAUUUUUUGCUUUUUUAAUAUUAUCUAUUUAGACAAAAAUACAAAAAUAAUAAAGGAAAUAACUCGAAUUUAUUUGAAAUUUUCUUUUAUGAGAACAUCUCUACAAUAUUUCACACAUACAUAUAUGGUAGUAAUGAAGUCAUUUGCAUGUUCAGUUGUAUAAUUUCUAAAUAAUCACCAAAUAAUUGAUUAUCGUAAAUAAAUUUUUUGUUGGUUUUCGUGUAAAAAAUGUUUAAGAAACAUUUAUAAUUGCAAUAAAAAUGUAUGAUAAUAUAUCGUUUUUGUUAAAACAAAUAAUUUAAAAGAUAUUUUCUACUCGAGAAAUAAUUCAACUAAAACUUUUUUCUUACCUAGAAACUAAAAAUAUUACUAAUUCAAAUGAUUUUGUAUAAAUUUAUCCAAUUACGAACGUGCCAGGUAAACGGUUAAUAUGAAAGGAACCAUAUAUUUAUAAGAGAGAUUUGUAAACAGCAAUAGUUAAAUAUAUGUAUAAAUUUAAUUCUCUUGUGAUGUACCCUAAUAACAUUCCUUCUAUUGUUGAAUAAAAUUUUGUGUGCUAAA